rnacentral:rRNA from 1 species
CCUACGGGAGGCAGCAGUGGGGAAUAUUGCACAAUGGGGGAAACCCUGAUGCAGCGACGCCGCGUGAAGGAAGAAGUAUUUCGGUAUGUAAACUUCUAUCAGCAGGGAAGAAAAUGACGGUACCUGACUAAGAAGCCCCGGCUAACUACGUGCCAGCAGCCGCGGUAAUACGUAGGGGGCAAGCGUUAUCCGGAUUUACUGGGUGUAAAGGGAGCGUAGACGGCUGAGCAAGUCUGAAGUGAAAGGCGGGGGCCCAACCCUCGGACUGCUUUGGAAACUGUAUAGCUAGAGUGCAGGAGAGGUAA